AAGAGGAAACACUCAGCCACCCACCUCAUGGGACUGCUAUGAGAAUGACUGACUGAAAUAAUUAAUUGUGAAGAACUUUGUGCCCCUGGGAGUAAGAACACUAUGCAAGUGAUUUCAGAAAUCUAAACCCUGAGAAAACAUGGGUAACAGAGAAGAACUUUUGCUGUGAUAUCUACUUCUGCAGUGAGUAGAGAAACAGAAGUAGAAGAUAAAUCUGAGGCCAACUACUUCCUUGGGAAACACCACCAUCUCUCAGUCAGCAAAGACAGAACCAGAGAGAGAGACUCUGCAAGUUCAGGAAGAAAGGUUCCAACUACUUUUACUCUCCGUUGCAUCUCCUAAUGUCACCACUUUCUCAGAGCAGGGUUUAGUCACUACUACAAAACAUUGCUCAGGGACUGCAGAGCCACUAGCCUGGCAUGUGGUGACACAUUCCCAACACAAUUCUCUAACAUUCUGAUUUCCCUUCCAAAAAUAAAUUCAAGCGAAAUUAGAACUCUUAAA